UGAAAACUUGUUGGUUAGGUUGGUACGUC
rnacentral:sRNA from 1 species